AUGAUCAGUUGAAUUUCGCAGCCGUGGUUAAAAUCAAAUUUAAUAGGAUCGUCGUCGCCGGAGGAGGGUGGUGAACUGAAGGUGCAAGCUUCACCGCAUUAAAUUAUGUGGUUCUGCAUCUCUCCGCCUAUAACCGAAGUACCAACUAUAUGUUGGAGCGGCUUAUAGUGUUUCUGGAAGGCUUGGUAGCAAAUUUGAGCAAUCAAUUUCAAAUGUCCAUCAAUCUGUAGUGGAAUGCAGGGGAUGCCAAUCUUGCAUGCUGCCAUCCUAACCCACAUCAGAGGUCAUCCAUGAGGACUGUCCUUAAAGUUCUUAAAAGGGAAGCAGAUCCAUAUCAGUUGCCCACCGGAAGACCUGCUUUUGUGUGGCCAGCCAUGCAUCCUUCAUUCUAAGAGACAACUCUGGAUGGUGGUCAGAUUACUACAUUAAUCACAGAACUCUCUGGAAGACGAAUCGGCCAAAAAUUUAGAGGUAACUCCCUGCUGUUCUAUUAUUGGAAUUA